AACUGAUACUACCUGCGGGAACCUGCGGAAGGAUCAUUCACAAUAAGUGUUUUAUGGCACUUUAAUUCCAUAUCCACCUUGUGUGCAACGUAGUUCGUUUUUCGAACAAAACAUCAACAUUUUAAUUAUCAACAGAUCGUCUGAAGUAUUAUAUGAAUAAAUCAAUUCAAAAUACAACUUUCAACAAUGGAUCUCU
rnacentral:misc_RNA from 1 species